AAAACUGCUCUCUCAUUUGUUAAAAAAUAAGUUUUAUGUGUGACAUAUAACAUGUAUUUCCGACUUAUUCAAAAUAUGUGUGCAGAAAAAUGAUUGUUAUGACUUGGCAUCAUUGAAAAUUUUCUUCCAAAAUGGCGGUGCGAAACGGAAAAAACAACUGUGGCCGCUUAGCAGUGAAUACUUAAUUGCCCUCAAUACGAAUAAUUUGUUUGGAAUCCUGAUGUAACCAGGUAAACCGGAUUAUAGUCUCAAGAAAUGCAUUGUUUACAGUUCCGUUCGUUUCCCGAGCUCGGCAAUCCGUUUCCUUCUGUGUUCUGCAGUUCCCUAACCGGCUAUCUUAGUGCUUGGAUGUUGUUCUUAGGUUAAAAGUCGUGAUGACUUUUUUUUAACUGGAA